CCCAGACUCCUACGGGAGGCAGCAGUGGGGAAUAUUGCACAAUGGGGGAAACCCUGAUGCAGCGACGCCGCGUGGGUGAAGGAGUAUUUCGGUAUGUAAAGCCCUAUCGGCAGGGAAGAAGCAAGACGGUACCUGACUAAGAAGCCCCGGCUAACUACGUGCCAGCAGCCGCGGUAAUACGUAGGGGGCGAGCGUUAUCCGGAUUCACUGGGUGUAAAGGGAGCGUAGACGGCCAAGCAAGCCAGGGGUGAAAGCCCGGGGCCCAACCCCGGGACUGCCCUUGGAACUGCUUGGCUGGAGUGCGGGAGGGGCAGGCGGAAUUCCUGGUGUAGCGGUGAAAUGCGUAGAUAUCAGGAGGAACACCGGCGGCGAAGGCGGCCUGCUGGACCGCUACUGACGUUGAGGCUCGAAAGCGUGGGGAGCGAACAGGAUUAGAUACCCUAGUAC
rnacentral:rRNA from 1 species